UACAGAGGGUGCGAGCGUUAAUCGGAAUUACUGGGCGUAAAGCGCGCGUAGGCGGCUACUUAAGUCAGAUGUGAAAUCCCCGGGCUCAACCUGGGAACUGCAUCUGAUACUGGGUAGCUAGAGUUUUGGAGAGGGAAGUAGAAUUUCAGGUGUAGCGGUGAAAUGCAUAGAGAUCUGAAGGAAUACCAGUGGCGAAGGCGACUUCCUGGCCAAAAACUGACGCUGAGGUGCGAAAGCGUGGGUAGCAAACGGGAUUAGAAACCCUAGUAGUCC
rnacentral:rRNA from 1 species